AACGAACGCUGGCGGCAUGCCUAACACAUGCAAGUCGAACGCCUGUAGCAAUACAGGAGUGGCGCACGGGUGAGUAACGCGUGGGAACCUGCCCUGGAGUGGGGGAUAACCGAGAGAAAUUUCGGCUAAUACCGCAUACGUCCUGAGGGAGAAAGAUUUAUCGCUCUAGGAGGGGCCCGCGUCGGAUUAGCUAGUUGGUGGGGUAACGGCCUACCAAGGCAACGAUCCGUAGCUGGCUGAGAGGAUGAUCAGCCACACUGGGACUGAGACACGGCCCAGACUCCUACGGGAGGCAGCAGUGGGGAAUAUUGGACAAUGGGGGAAACCCUGAUCCAGCAAUGCCGCGUGAGUGAUGAAGGCCUUAGGGUUGUAAAGCUCUUUCGGUGGGACGAUGAUGACGGUACCCGCAGAAGAAGCCCCGGCUAACUUCGUGCCAGCCGUCGCAGUAAG
rnacentral:rRNA from 1 species